GUGGCACUUGUGGGGGCUUAUUCAGCUAUAGGUCAAGUUCGGAGGACCCCAAAAUUCGAGGCUCGUCGGGCCACGGCCACGGCGGCUCGCCCGGGGCCGGUUGCGUGGCCAUGUGGUUCGUCAACGGUGUGGCGUCGGCUUUCUUUGCUUCUUUAGAGCGCUGUUCUUGCAUCCGCAUAGCCACCGCCGAAGACGACGUGGAUCAGGAAAACGACGUGCCGUUGAUUCACAACGAUGGGAAUGUAAUCGUGAGGCCGCAUGAUAUUGAUGGCGGCACCCGCAGGAGAAGGGCGACUGCAAAAGGAAAAGGCAAGAACAAGGGAUAAAGCUCAAUUAAUAUUAUACUGUUAUUUAUUAGGUACGUGAAAAUUUUAUAUAUGGGUAAUGGGUUCUCUCUCUCUUUUUUUUUUUUUCCUUUUUUUCAAAAUUAAUAUGUCAUUAUUGUCAUGUUCAUGUGGUUCCUCUGGCCUUGUGGGAUAAUUUAAAUACGUGUUAAUUGAAUAUGAUCAAAGUGAAUGAAAUAAACAAUUAUUUUCAUCAUCUAUUUAACAUAUAUGAGUGUGAGUGUGAGUGUGUGUUUUCAUUUAUAAAAGUUAUAUUCCAUAAUUACGUAGUGCUAUAUAUACGUGUCAUUUCUGGGGAUCGAUUUUUAACUUGCUUAUCAUUUUAUUAACUAAUUAAUUUUGUGGAUUAAUUAGGUGAUUAUUUUGGGAUUGAAUAUUACAGUUUAAUCACAGAGAUGAGAUCCUUCUGUCAAUCAAAGUCUACUAUACAAAAAAAUCUAAUUAAGAAGAAACAUACGGUAUAGAUAUACAUUUUUUUUUUUUUUUUGCAGAAUCUCUUUGUCCCUGGGGGUCAGUCUGAAGGAUGAAAAUGCAAUCCACCAUGCAUUGAUUUAUCGUUUCCUGGAUUCGAAAGAUUCAAACGUUUUCUUUCUUAUUACAUAUUCGAAAUUAAAGAGGAAGGUGCGGAUUUGACUGCCAUUAUAUUAAAUUUAAAAAAUAAAAAAAAAAUAAUUUUUCUAUAAUCCCACCACUAGUGAGAGUUUAUUAGUGUUGGUUAUCAAGUUGCUAUUAUUGGUUCAAGCUAGUUUCAUUUUUUCACCUUGUUAUCAUAAUAGGGUUGGUGGGAAAGCAACUGAAAAUGAAAUCUCCCUCGACAAUUAUUAACCAUCAACAAAAAUUAGUGUUAAUUAUAAAGUUCAUUAAUUGUUUUUAACUCUAAAUUUUAGCUAUUAAGAAAAAAAUAUAUUGGGCUUCUUUUUUUUUUUUUAAUGUUUUGUGCUGUUAUUGUGUUUAACAUUGAAGCGUUGGGAGAAUUCUAGCGAAUAUUUUUG
rnacentral:lncRNA from 1 species